rnacentral:rRNA from 1 species
CCUACGGGAGGCAGCAGUGGGGGAUAUUGCACAAUGGGGGAAACCCUGAUGCAGCGACGCCGCGUGGGUGAAGAAGCGCCUCGGCGCGUAAAGCUCUGUCAGCCGGGAAGAAAAUGACGGUACCUGAAGAAGAAGCACCGGCUAACUACGUGCCAGCAGCCGCGGCAAUACGGAGGGGGCAGGCGUUAUCCGGAUUUACUGGGUGUAAAGGGGGCGCAGACGGGGUUGCAAGCCAGGAGGGAAAGCCCGGGGGCAAACCCCGGGACUGCUGUUGGAACUGCGUGGCUGGAGUGCAGGAGGGGCAGGCGGAAUGCCUGGUGUAGCGGUGAAAUGCGUAGAUAUCAGGAGGAACACCGGUGGCGAAGGCGGCCUGCUGGACGGCAACUGACGUUGAGGCCCGAAAGCGUGGGGAGCAAACAGGAUUAGAUACCCCGGUAGUC